rnacentral:misc_RNA from 1 species
AAGUCGUAACAAGGUUUCCGUAGGUGAACCUGCGGAAGGAUCAUUAAAGAAUUUAGCUUCGAAAGGAGCGUAUUUUUAUACUUUCAUAUUGAAAUUGUCAGAGUUAUUGUCUCGAAAGAGAAUUGAAAACGUUAAAACUAUAAACAACGGAUCUCUAGGCUCUU